rnacentral:rRNA from 1 species
UGGCUCAGGACCCGAACGCUGGCGGCGUGCCUAAUACAUGCAAGUAGAACGCUGAAGAGAGGAGCUUGCUCUUCUUGGAUGAGUUGCGAACGGGUGAGUAACGCGUAGGUAACCUGCCUUGUAGCGGGGGAUAACUAUUGGAAACGAUAGCUAAUACCGCAUAACAAUGGAUGACACAUGUCAUUUAUUUGAAAGGGGCAAUUGCUCCACUACAAGAUGGACCUGCGUUGUAUUAGCUAGUAGGUGAGGUAACGGCUCACCUAGGCGACGAUACAUAGCCGAUCCUGAGAGGGAGAUCGGCCACACUGGGACUGAGACACGGCCC